UUUCUUUUCUUUUCUUUUCUUUUCUUCCUCCGUAUAUUUUCAAUACAAGCAAAUGCUGAGUUAAGACUAAAAAUCCCAAGGCGUUUUAUUGAGGUAGAUCUGAACUGGAGCCUGUCAACCGCGUUGGCGGAUGGACAUCAAGACUGUUGGGGGCGUAUAAUACUGGUUCGAUAACAGCUGUCUCACACAUCUGGUGGGUUUUUAUUUUUAUUGUUAUUUUUAUUUUUGGUUUUCUUUUCUUUCUUUUCUUUUUCUUUUUCUUUUCCUUUUUUUUUAAUUAUUUGUUUAUUCAUUUAGCGAAUCAGGAGGGUACAUACCCCAGAAAUAUUUACAUUUCUGGGAGUCAUGGUACAAGAGCGUUACAAGAACUUGUUUAGUUGGCCCUGGGGAAUGGAGGAGAUGCCGACAAGUCGGAAACGAGGUGGAGCUGGUCAGGCAAGAUGUGUUUUCUUUUGCAAUUAAUAAAUACCAGUAGCCGCCGGAUUUUGCUUUGCCUGAUUCUAGACACAACCCGUCAGGGUGUGUGGUGUAAAAAAAGAAAAGGGUCUCUUCGUGUGUCGUUUUCUGUUCUUUUUUUCCUUUGAGAGCCUGUGGAUGCUG
rnacentral:sRNA from 2 species